rnacentral:misc_RNA from 1 species
GUGAAUCAUCAAAUCUUUGAACGCAUAUUGCACUCUCUGGUAUUCCGGAGAGUACGCCUGUUUGAGGGUAAUUAAAAAGAAUCUUUAACCAAUUUUUUGGUCAAAGGAAAUGAGCUCUCCGCGUUUAUAGCGGUAGCUUGAAAUAAAUGGUCAAGUCUCAUUUUAGUCGAGACGCGUAAUAAUAUUAUUAUUCCACGACAUCAUCAUUAGGCGACUAUGAAGUUAUGAUUAC